rnacentral:rRNA from 1 species
AGCGAACGCUGGCGGCGUGCCUAAUACAUGCAAGUCGAGCGAGAAAGCCUCUUCGGAGGUGAGUAAAGCGGCGCACGGGUGAGUAACACGUGGGCAACCUACCCUUGAGUCUGGGAUAACCCGGGGAAACUCGGGCUAAUACCAGAUACGGCUGCGGGGUCCUCGGAUCCUGCGGAGAAAGAUGGCCUCUUCUUGAAAGCUAUCUCUCGAGGAUGGGCCCGCGUCCUAUUAGCAGUUGGUGAGGUAACGGCUCACCAAGGCAAAGAUGGGUAGCUGGUCUGAGAGGAUGGCCAGCCACACUGGAACUGAGACACGGUCCAGACUCCUACGGGAGGCAGCAGUAGGGAAUUUUGGGCAAUGGGCGAAAGCCUGACCCAGCAACGCCGCGUGUGGGAUGAAGGCCCCUCGGGGUCGUAAACCACUGUCAGGAGAAAGAAAGCUGGCCGCUAACAUCCGGUCGGCCUGACGUACCUCC